rnacentral:misc_RNA from 1 species
UCCUCCUUGUGGGAGGCUGUCUCGCUAGAGAAAUUAACUAGCGACGAGGGUUGCGCUCGUUGCGGGACUUAACCCAACACCUCACGGCACGAGCUGACGACAACCAUGCAGCACCUGUGCUAGCUUCCUGAGUUACCCCAGGAUCAUCGCCCUUUCGGGUUCUUACUACUAGUAUGUCAAGCCCAGGUAAGGUUUUUCGUUUAGCAUCGAAUUAAACCACACGCUCCACCGCUUGUGCGGGCCCCCGUCAAUUCUUUUGAGUUUUAGCCUUGCGGCCGUACUCCCCAGGCGGAAUGCUUAUCGCGUUAGCUGCGGCACAGGGGGGGUCGAUACCCCCUAUACCUAGCAUUCAUUGUUUAGGGCGUGGACUAC